rnacentral:rRNA from 1 species
AAAGUGGAGGCUAUUGUAACUGAAGAGAACUGGAAAGUUCCACCGUAGAAGGUAAUAGUCCUGUAAGUGAAACGAGAAGACCACGAGUUAUGAUCCAGAGUACCACGAGACACGUGAAACCUUGUGGGAAGCAGGGAGGACCACCUCCCAAGGCUAAAUACUACCUGAUGACCGAUAGUGAAGCAGUACCGUGAGGGAAAGGUGAAAAGAACCCCGGGAGGGGAGUGAAAUAGAACCUGAAACCGUGUGCCUACAACCGCUCAGAGCCCCUUAUGAGGGUGAUGAGGUGCUUUUUGUAGAACGAGCCAACGAGUUACGGUAUGUAGCAAGGUUAAGUACUUAAGGUACGGAGCCGAAGGGAAACCGAGUCUGAAUAGGGCGACUAGUUGCAUGCCGUAGACCCGAAACCGGGUGACCUAUCCAUGGCCAGGUUGAAGCGAGGGUAAAACCUCGUGGAGGACCGAACCACGUUGCUGUUGAAAAAGCAUGGGAUGAGCUGUGGAUAGCGGAGAAAUUCCAAUCGAACCCGGAGAUAGCUGGUUCUCUCCGAAAUAGCUUUAGGGCUAGCGUCGAGUAUGAGUAGUGGAGGUAGAGCACUGAAUGGGCUAGGGGGCAUAGCGCUUACCGAACCUUAUCAAACUCCGAAUGCCACAUACUUUGAGCUCGGCAGUCAGACUACGAAUGAUAAGAUCCGUGGUCAAAAGGGAAACAGCCCAGAUCGUCAGCUAAGGUCCCAAAGUGUAAGUUAAGUGGGAAAGGAUGUGAGAUUUCUAAGACAACUAGGAUGUUGGCUUAGAAGCAGCCAUUCAUUAAAAGAGUGCGUAAUAGCUCACUAGUCGAGAGAUCUUGCGCCGAAAAUGUAACGGGGCUAAACUUACCACCGAAGCUACGGGCUUGAACUUA